rnacentral:tRNA from 1 species
AAGGCUUUAGAUUAAUAAAAUCAUCUGGUUUGCAUUCAGAAGAUGUGGAGUAAUGUCCUGCAAGUCUUA